GUUCAGACCCCCGGUUGCCCGACCGGCUGCCCGGCGGUACUCGCACGGUAUCUGGCCGCAAACAUUCGAACUGCGUCCGGCCCGUCGCAAGCGAGACAAGUGUUUCCCGGUUGUACGGAUCCAAUGCCGUCACCGGGCCUUGUCAGCUGUUGGUUGACGGUGUCCUAGGACUGGCUAAUACAAUUAUGAUACCGGUCGGCGACGCUACUGCUUUGGGUACUUUCAGGACCCGUCUUGAAACACGGACCAAGGAGUCUAACAUGUGCGCGAGUCAUUGGGAACUAUUAAGCCUAAAGGCGCAAUGAAAGUGAAGGUCGGCCUUGCGCCGACCGAGGGAGGAUGGGCCGCGUCAUGUUAUGCGGUCCCGCACUCCCGGGGCGUCUCGUUCUCAUUGCGAGAAGAGGCGCACCCAGAGCGUACACGUUGGGACCCGAAAGAUGGUGAACUAUGCCUGGUCAGGACGAAGUCAGGGGAAACCCUGAUGGAGGUCCGUAGCGAUUCUGACGUGCAAAUCGAUCGUCGGAACUGGGUAUAGGGGCGAAAGACUAAUC
rnacentral:rRNA from 1 species